UACGUAGGGGGCAAGCGUUGUCCGGAAUUAUUGGGCGUAAAGAGCGUGUAGGCGGUCCGGUAAGUCAGCUGUGAAAGUCCAGGGCUCAACCCUGGGAUGCCGGUCGAUACUGCCGUGCUUGAGGACUGGAGAGGAGACUGGAAUUUACGGUGUAGCGGUGAAAUGCGUAGAUAUCGUAAGGAAGACCAGUGGCGAAGGCGGGUCUCUGGACAGUUCCUGACGCUGAGGCACGAAGGUCAGGGGAGCAAACGGG
rnacentral:rRNA from 1 species